CCUACGGGAGGCAGCAGUGGGGAAUAUUGCACAAUGGGGGAAACCCUGAUGCAGCGACGCCGCGUGAGUGAAGAAGUAUUUCGGUACGUAAAGCUCUAUCAGCAGGGAAGAAAAAAAGUCCUUUGGACUUUGGACGGUACCUGACCAAGAAGCCCCUGCUAACUACGUGCCAGCAGCCGCGGUAAUACGUAGGGGGCAAGCGUUAUCCGGAUUUACUGGGUGUAAAGGGGGCGUAGACGGCAGCGCAAGUCUGGAGUGAAAUGCCGGGGCCCAACCCCGGAACUGCGUUGGAAACUGUGCAGCUGGAGUGCAGGAGGGGUAAGCGGAAUUCCUAGUGGAGCGGUGAAAUGCGUAGAUAUUAAGAGGAACACCAGUGGCGAAGGCGGCUUACUGGACUGUAACUGACGUUGAGGCUCGAAAGCGUGGGGAGCAAAAGGGAUUAGAUACCCUUGUAGUC
rnacentral:rRNA from 1 species